rnacentral:rRNA from 1 species
AACCUUGAGGAGAUCUGUCCUUAGUACGAGAGGACCGGGAUGGACGAACCUCUGGUGUACCGGUUGUCACGCCAGUGGCAUGGCCGGGUAGCUAUGUUCGGAAGGGAUAAGCGCUGAAAGCAUCUAAGUGCGAAGCCCACUCCAAGAUUAGGGUUCCCUUCCUGUUGAAAGGCAGGACUGAAGGCCCCUUGAAGACGACAAGGUUGAUAGGUCACAGGUGGAAGCGUGGUAACAUGUGUAGCCGAGUGAUACUAAUAGGCCGUGAGGCUUGACCGA